UAGAGUGGCGUAAGGGUGCGUAACACGUAUGCAAUCUACCCGCAACAGGAGGAUAGCUCGGGGAAACUCGAAUUAACCCUCCAUAAGAUCUUAGACCGGCAUCGGUUAGAGAUUAAAUCUGAGGAGGUUGCGGAUGAGCAUGCGUCUGAUUAGCUAGUUGGCGGGGUAAUGGCCCACCAAGGCGAUGAUCAGUAGGGGAACUGAGAGGUUGAUCCCCCACACUGGCACUGAGAUACGGGCCAGACUCCUACGGGAGGCAGCAGUAGGGAAUAUUGGACAAUGGGUGAAAGCCUGAUCCAGCCAUGCCGCGUGCAGGAAGAAGGCCUUCUGGGUUGUAAACUGCUUUUAUCUGGGGAUAAAAAGGCCUUGCGAGGCAAACUGAAGGUACCAGAUGAAUAAGCCACGGCUAACUACGUGCCAGCAGCCGCGGUAAUACGUAGGUGGCAAGCGUUGUCCGGAUUUAUUGGGUUUAAAGGGUGCGUAGGCGGUCUAUUAAGUCAGCGGUGAAAGCCGAUAGCUUAACUAUCGAGGUGCCAUUGAUACUGAUAGACUUGAGUGUAGUCGAGGUAGGCGGAAUGGACGGUGUAGCGG
rnacentral:rRNA from 1 species